GUGUUUCUCAUUAUACUUUUCUUAACUCAUGGUUUUCAUAGUAUAGUUGAGGUUUUAAAAUAAUAUAUAAGCUUUCCUGACUUUCUCUGUGCAUUACUUUUACAUUAAUUUGUAAGUUUUCCAUUGAUUUGAGGCAGAUUUUAAAGGAGAAUAAGGACAAGAAAGAUGAAGGGCAGAAAACUUUCAGGAACGUCCUAUUGAAUCCGUGACAGAAGUAUGUGAUCUUGCUACCAAGCCAGCUUUUGUUCAAUAUGCAACAUUGGUAUUGAUGGUUGUUGUUGUAAUUGUAUUCCACUAUAUACCAUGGUAAAACACACGUAAUGUGCUACAUUGGAGUUUGUUCGAUAGUAGGUUCUUUAUGAGUCAGUAUUAAAAUUGUUCGCACUU
rnacentral:lncRNA from 1 species